CGUACACUCCUGCGGGAGGCAGCAGUGGGGAAUCUUGCGCAAUGGGCGAAAGCCUGACGCAGCCAUGCCGCGUGAAUGAUGAAGGUCUUAGGAUUGUAAAAUUCUUUCACCGGGGACGAUAAUGACGGUACCCGGAGAAGAAGCCCCGGCUAACUUCGUGCCAGCAGCCGCGGUAAUACGAAGGGGGCUAGCGUUGCUCGGAAUUACUGGGCGUAAAGGGAGCGUAGGCGGACAUUUAAGUCAGGGGUGAAAUCCCGGGGCUCAACCUCGGAAUUGCCUUUGAUACUGGGUGUCUUGAGUAUGAGAGAGGUGUGUGGAACUCCGAGUGUAGAGGUGAAAUUCGUAGAUAUUCGGAAGAACACCAGUGGCGAAGGCGACACACUGGCUCAUUACUGACGCUGAGGCUCGAAAGCGUGGGGAGCAAACAGGAUUAGAAACCCCAGUAGUCCCA
rnacentral:rRNA from 1 species